GCAGGUUUAGUGAAAACUCAGAGUUAGUUAACUCAGAGUUGAAGGAAACGGAGUUUUCGGUUUCAUAAAGCCAGUUCAGUAACCAUGACAACAUACUCCGUGAAGAAAACCUGCUCGCUGGCAGGUUUUUCUUCAAUUAACCCUGGCUGAGUUUCUCCUCCUCUUUAGCUGAAGCCUGCAGACUGCAGGAGAUGUCAGACAUGACGUGUCCUUUUCUUGAAGAGCCAGUUGAUAUUGCACAAAAACUCAGCAAAAAUCUCCGUCGGGAGGUGAUCAGACCCCGCUUGGAUGUUUUAUCAUUCCCUGAUGAUGUUUGAGCGUUUCUGUUUUUCUGCACAAUCGAUCAUUCAUCUGAACAAUGUUCUCAUAUCGUUCAUAUGACACAUCCUGGACAUGCUCUCAGUUCGGAACAAAUUCUUUGUGUUGCACUUCGUUUUUUUGCCAAAAGGAGUUUUCUAUAUAACAUCAUUGACGCUGGGCAUAUUUCCAAGGCAACUGUCUGUCGGGUUGUCAGCAAUGUGACUCUUACACUGAAACGUUUACUGUACACUUUUGUGGUGUCUCCUAGUCACAGACCCAGCAAAGAAGAAUUCCACAUAAUUACAGGUAUCAGUCUAAGCAAUAAUGUAUUUAUUUAGUAUGAAGUUUGAGAUUAGAAGCGAAGCACUAAUCAGUUCAUUUGAUAUAUUUUAGAGUUUCCAGGUGUGAUUGGCUGCAUAGAUGGCACUCAUAUUCCUAUCACAGCUCCUUCAGUAACUGAAGGAGAUUAUGUGAACAGGAAGUCUUUCCACAGCAUUAAUGUGCAGGUAGGCCUAAACAGUAGCCUUUAGCAUUCCAAAUGAAAGAACUGCACUAGAUGUGUUGUGAAGUAAUUACUGUUCUGUAUAAUCCCCAACCCGGGCUCGAACCAGGGACCUUCUGCACACAUCAACAACUGCCUCCCACGAAGCAUCGUUACCCAUCGUCUCAGAGCGAGUGACGUCACCUAUUGAAACGCUAUUAGCGCGCACCACCUCUAACCAUUUCACAUCGGUUACAUCUGCAUGGGGAAGAUCAUAUAUGAUGCAGCCCACAUCAUCAGCAACGUGGAAGCAAAGUGGCCUGGGUCUGAGCAUGACUCAUGAGUUUUUCGUGUGUGUACACUGAGCGCUAGCUUUGCCCGUGGAGCGUUCAAUAGUUCCCUGCUCGGUGAUAGAGGGUACCCCUGCCAGCCCUAUUUGCUGACCCCUUACCCUGAUUCUGAGCCCGGCCCGCAGCAACGUUAUAACUUGGCUCACUGCAGGAUAUGAGCCAGGGUAGAGAUGACCAUUGGGAUACUCAAGGCCCGGUUCCAGUGCCUUCAUAGGCUCAGGGUCACCCCAGAAAGGGCAUGUGACAUUAUUGUGGCAUGUGUGAUUCUCCACAACAUUGCCACAAUUAGAGGAGAACAAUGUCCUACUCAACCAGUGAACGAUCCUGACCACCCCGCUGACCCACGAGAUGGGAGAGCAGUCAAAGACACAAUAUGCUUCCAUCAUUUCUGAUUGACCAAUCACCUCCCCAGUGUUAAAUAAAGACAAUAUGCCUUUC